ACCCCACAUCUCAGAACCUACAAGUGUGUGCUGUGAGCGGCUCCCACAGUAUUGCCACUGCCACAUUAGGCCGUUGGGGCAGUCCAUUACAGCUGAGGAUCACCAGUGCACAGAUGGUCCUGCAGAGCCCAUUCCACUGAGUCCUCCCUUCUCGCAAUGCGCGUAAUGACACCUCACAAACAAACCUCACUUCAGUAUGUUAACACUCAAUGGACAUCCCACAGAACCUCUACCACACCCUCUUGCCAUCCAGGGCUCUCCAUGCCUUGAUCACCUUCUUUUCCUGCCAUGGCAGUGUUCACACGUAGAGGUCAGAGGAAAUUUGGAAACAAGCAGUGCACGGACAGUGUUGUUGCCAUCUGCUGACAGUGCCCCCAUGCCCCACUCCUGGAGGGGACAGUGGGGCUAGCCAUGAAUGGAGCACAACCAUCCUGUCCCAGGGAGCACAAAGAGGUGAUUCCUGCCAGGAAGUGAAGGUGAGGAACUGAGCAAAAGGUUGUUCAUUGCUGGGACCUCAAGAGAACACAUGCCGUCAACAAGAAGCAUAGGUGUCCUGCACUGGUUGAAUGGAAAAUUGUCCUUCCUCCAUUGA